UCCCUGGUGGCUCAGUCGGUAAAGAAUCUGCCUUCAGUGCAGGAGGCCUGGGUUUGAUCCCUGGGCCGGGAA
rfam:TPA: Bos taurus chromosome 16, whole genome shotgun sequence.